rnacentral:rRNA from 1 species
GACGAACGCUGGCGGCGUGCUUAACACAUGCAAGUCGAACGAUGAACCAGGGCUUGCCCUGGGGAUUAGUGGCGAACGGGUGAGUAACACGUGGGCAACCUGCCCCAGACACCGGGAUAACCAUUCGAAAGAGUGGCUAAUACCGGAUACGACCACUUUGGGCAUCCAACGGUGGUGGAAAGGAUUCUGGUCUGGGAUGGGCCCGCGGCCUAUCAGCUUGUUGGUGGGGUAAUGGCCUACCAAGGCGACGACGGGUAGCCGGCCUGAGAGGGCGACCGGCCACACUGGGACUGAGACACGGCCCAGACUCCUACGGGAGGCAGCAGUGGGGAAUAUUGCGCAAUGGGCGAAAGCCUGACUCAGCGACGCCGCGUGAGGGACGAAGGUCUUCGGAUUGUAAACCUCUUUCAGCAGGGACGAAGCGAAAGUGACUGUACCUGCAGAAGAAGCACCGGCUAACUACGUGCCAGCCGCCGCGGUAAUAC